rnacentral:rRNA from 1 species
GACGAACGCUGGCGGCGUGCUUAACACAUGCAAGUCGAACGGAAAGGCCUGCUUUCCCUUGUGGAUUGCGGGUGCUCGAGUGGCGAACGGGUGAGUAACACGUGAGUGAUCUGCCCCCAACUUGGGUAUAAGCCUGGGAAACUGGGUCUAAUUCCCGAUAGGACUGCAGGGUGGUGCCUGUGGUGGAAAACGAUUUUCUAGUGGUUGGGGAUGAGCUCGCGGCCUAUCAGCUUGUUGGUGGGGUAAUGGCCUACCAAGGCGGCGACGGGUAGCCGGCCUGAGAUGGUGGACGACCACGUUGGGACUGGGAUACGGCCCAGACUCCUACGGGAGGCAGCAGUGGGGAAUAUUGCACAAUGGGCGGAAGCCUGAUGCAGCGACGCCGCGUGGGGGAUGACGGCCUUCGGGUUGUAAACUCCUUUCGACCGCGAGGAAGCCACCUGGUUGGAAGGGUGGUGACGGUAGUGGUAGAAGAAGCACCGGCUAACUACGUG